rnacentral:sRNA from 1 species
GAUGAAAUUAAAUGUGCAAUGAUCCCAAUUCCAAUGAUGAUUUUUGCGCUUAUGCCGCUUAG